UGGACGAUAAUAAGGGGAGCAACUUAAUAUAAUUGAGGAACCUUAAGAGCAAUUUAGCAAAUUAAUCUAGUUUGUGUUGGAACGUCUUUGUGUGUGUAUAUAAUCACAAACUAUUUGCGAAUUCUCCCCCACAGCCACCUCGCAAAAGUGAAACGUAGAGAAACCCCGUCUUUGUGAUAUAGGCCAUCAUCACCGGCGAGUCCAGCUCUACCAUCAUCGGAAUGUUGGAACCCUCUUAUUUCUCAGUGGUCCUCGCUUUCGAUGGCUCUUCCUCUACUUUCCUCUUCACCUCCGGUUGAAUGGUGAUGGUGUUGUUGAUGGAGGUCACAUCUUUCCAUCAGUCCCUAUGGUGGAGAUGUUGGCGGUCAUCCACCCCUCCGUCGAUCCCUGUGGAAGUAUGCCGCGGCCACUAAGUGUCGCCUCUUAAAUCAGUGGUCUGUUGUGCUAUUGCAACCUCCUCUUCCCCCUUCCCUCGAGCCUUGUCGAUAGAUCUUGCUCGAUCUCGACCGGAUAUGGACAGAAACAACCUAGGUUGGGUUAGAAACAAGCAGAUCCGAUCAGUCAUGGUCAGAUUAUUCUUAUUCAAAUUAUUCUUUUUGUUGUUGAUUCUGUACACUUCUUAGCUCCUCUGGUGACGGUCGUUGGUUUAAACUGAUUAAGGAAGCUAUUGCUUUGCUGCUUUGGUAUCGUUUUAGGAUUGGGUUGUUUAAGGUUGGGUUUAUUGAGCUUUGUCUAGGGAUCGUGAUCUGUGAUGGAAUCCUGCGCUCAAAUUUACCUGCCCAAGUCCAUUCUACAUUGUUUCAAUGUGGAUUUCUUAGGGGCUCCCAUACAGAAUUAAAUUUUCACCAUGGAUUAAUGGAUUGGAAUGAGAAUCUCCCUUUUGAUUUUGAUUGGGGUUCAUGGUGAAGCGUUGAUAGAAGGUAGUGAUUGGGAUUUUCGUGUUUUAGGGUAGUAAAUUGCAAUUAUAUUGGGUUUCUUUGAUGUGAUUUUCACAUAUAUUCUCCUUUAUAGUUUGUGUGGUGGAUCAACUGAUAUAUUUUACUCUUGUAAUUUGCACUUUGA